rnacentral:rRNA from 1 species
AUGAACGCUGGCGGCGUGCCUAAUACAUGCAAGUCGAGCGAACAGAUGAGGAGCUUGCUCCUCUGACGUUAGCGGCGGACGGGUGAGUAACACGUGGAUAACCUACCUAUAAGACUGGGAUAACUUCGGGAAACCGGAGCUAAUACCGGAUAAUAUAUUGAACCGCAUGGUUCAAUAGUGAAAGAUGGUUUUGCUGUCACUUAUAGAUGGAUCCGCGCCGCAUUAGCUAGUUGGUAAGGUAACGGCUUACCAAGGCAACGAUGCGUAGCCGACCUGAGAGGGUGAUCGGCCACACUGGAACUGAGACACGGUCCAGACUCCUACGGGAGGCAGCAGUAGGGAAUCUUCCGCAAUGGGCGAAAGCCUGACGGAGCAACGCCGCGUGAGUGAUGAAGGUCUUCGGAUCGUAAAACUCUGUUAUUAGGGAAGAACAAAUGUGUAAGUAACUAUGCACGUCUUGACGGUACCUAAUCAGAAAGCCACGGCUAACUACGUG